AACCAGGAUCAUGUCCAAAACCCCUUGGAGCCGGACUGUGUGUUGAGAAGUGUUCUGGUGACGGUAGCUGUCCAAACAAUCAGAAAUGCUGCAGCAAUGGAUGUGGACAUCAGUGUAUGGCUCCAUGUACUGGUGCUGGACCAGCAAAGCCAGGAGUGUGUCCUAGAAACAA